rnacentral:rRNA from 1 species
CCUACGGGAGGCAGCAGUGGGGGAUAUUGCACAAUGGGGGAAACCCUGAUGCAGCGACGCCGCGUGUGGGAAGACGGUCCUCUGGAUUGUAAACCACUGUCCCCAGGGACGAAGAUGACGGUACCUGGGGCGGAAGCUCCGGCAACCUACGUGCCAGCAGCCGCGGUAAUACGUCGGGAGCGAGCGUUGUCCGGAAUUACUGGGUGUAAAGGGAGCGUAGGCGGGACUGCAAGUUGGGUGUCAAAUCUACCGGCUCAACCGGUAGCCGCACUCAAAACUGCAGUUCUUGAGUGAAGUAGAGGCAGGCGGAAUUCCUAGUGUAGCGGUGAAAUGCGUAGAUAUUAGGAGGAACACCAGUGGCGAAGGCGGCCUGCUGGGCUUUGACUGACGCUGAGGCUCGAAAGUGUGGGGAGCAAACAGGAUUAGAUACCCUGGUAGUC